rnacentral:rRNA from 1 species
UACGAGGGGGGCGAGCGUUGUUCGGAAUUAUUGGGCGUAAAGGGUGCGUAGGCGGUUUGGUAAGUCUUGUGUGAAAUCUUCGGGCUUAACUCGAAGUCUGCACUGGAAACUGCCGGGCUUGAGUGUGGGAGAGGUGAGUGGAAUUCCCGGUGUAGCGGUGAAAUGCGUUGAUAUCGGAAGGAACGCCGGUGGCGAAAGCGGUCUGCUGGCCCUCUUCUGACGCUGAGGCGCGAAAGCCAGGGGAGCAAACGGG